rnacentral:rRNA from 1 species
CCCCUACGGGGCGCAGCAGUGGGGAAUAUUGCACAAUGGGGGAAACCCUGAUGCAGCAACGCCGCGUGAGUGAAGAAGUAUUUCGGUAUGUAAAGCUCUAUCAGCAGGGAAGAAAAUGACGGUACCUGAGUAAGAAGCCCCGGCUAACUACGUGCCAGCAGCCGCGGUAAUACGUAGGGGGCAAGCGUUAUCCGGAUUUACUGGGCGUAAAGGGAGCGUAGACGGAGGAACAAGUCUGAUGUGAAAAUCCGGGGCCCAACCCCGGAACUGCAUUGGAAACUGGUUAUCUAGAGUGUCGGAGAGGC